GGGGCCGUAGCUCAGCGGGAGAGUUCCUGCUUUGCAAGCAGGCUGUCGUGGGUUCGAAUCCCACCGGCUCCACCA
rnacentral:tRNA from 1 species